rnacentral:lncRNA from 1 species
GGUUCGCCAGGAGACCUGAGGCACGACCUUCGCCACGCAAGGAGGCUGGGGCCCGGGUCGAGAGUCGACUGGGCCUCCGCUGGGACCCAGGCGUGCGACCGGCUCUGCCUCCUCCGGUAACUACCCAGCCUCCCGCUGGGCACCCUAGCCGCGGUACUGAGCACCUUGGUUAGGAGCUGAGGGGAAGAGGGAGACUCCCUUACUUCAGGGUGAGGGGAAUACCGGGGGGUGAGGUUCUCGGGAGACCCUGGCUCACCUGCAAUGGCACCCGGAAGUGCGGCGGCGGCGGCGCCUGCGACCUGGCAGCACAGAGAUGCGUGCGCCAGACAGAGUGGCCCGUCGGUGGCUCCAUCGCCAUCUGCCGGCACCUCGGUGGAAGUUUGGCCAGGAGCGUGGGGCUGGCCCCAGUUUGAUGGGAUAUUUAGUAAUUGAAAAUUGGGGACAGGGGACCAAGCUGGAGGAAGAGUUCAGGGAACCACUGUCCAUUCAUGGUUACGACUAAGAGCACGGCUGCUGGAGUCAAACUUGACUUGAAUCCUAGCUUGGCCGCACAUAUUGUCAUCAUUAGGCAUUACCUCAUCUGUAAAAUGGAGAUAAUACUUAUUUUCCCUUUUUUGCUUAGCUGAGUCCAACUGAGAUUUCAUUACUCCUCCUUUCAAAGCCUGUAACUAAAUCUUACGACUGAAUAAUUAAGCAAAUAAUCCUUCGGAGUGGAGGAGGGGAGGCUGGGCCCAGUGGUUCACACCUGUAAUCCCAGCACUUUGGGAGGUCAAGGCAGGUGGAUCACCUAAGGUCAGGAGUUCAAGACCAGCCCGGCCAAUAUGACGAAACGCCGUCUCUACUGAAAAUACAAAAGUUACCCGGGAGUGGUGGCGGGCGCCUGUGAUCCCAGAUACCUGGGAGGCUGAGGCAGGAGAAUCACUCGAACCCAGGAGGCAGAGGUUGCAGUGAGCCGAGAUUGCACCACUGCACUCCAGCCUGGGCAACAGAGCAAGACUCCCUCUCAAAAAAAAAAAAAAAAAUGCCAGGCACGAUGACUCACACCUGUAAGCCCAGCACUUUGGGAGGCUGAGGCUGGAGAAUCAGUUGAAGUCAGGAAUUGGAGACCAGCCUGGCCAACAUGCUGAAACCCCAACUCUACUAAAAAUUACAAAAUUUAGCCAGGCGUGGCGAUGUGUACCUGUAGUCCCAGCUACUGAGGAGGCUGAGACUGGACAAUUGCUUGAAGCCAGGAGGCAGAGGCUACAGUGAGCUGAGAUCGUGCUACUGCACUCCAGCCUAGGCAACAGAGCAAGACUCUGUCUCAAAAAGAAACAAAACCCGUCCACUGGUUUCUCAUCUCAGAGUAAAAGUUCUUGCAUUGGCUCUACAUGGCCCUGCACACUAUCUGCCUCUUCCCCUUCUGAUUCAUCUAGCUGCCACUUCUUUGCUUCCCUAACUCUGUUCCAUCCACAGCAGUUCUGCCUCAGGACCUUUGCAUUUGCCAUCUCCUCUGUCAGCUUCAGUUCCCGAUGCCGAAAUGGAUCUCCAUCACCUUCAUAUUGAAGCUCAACUGUAACAUCAGCAAGGCUUCCUGCAAUCCCCUACUUUACUAGUUCAGCACCUCCCACCACCACACCCCCUGGAAAAAUUUCCCCUCACUUCCUUAAUUUCUUCCAUAGCACAACUCAUCAGCAUCUGAAAUUCUACACGUAUUUAUGGUUUAUCCCCUCCGAGUAGAAUGUGAGCUCAUUGAGGUCAGGGAAUUCUGUUUUCUUCAUGAUAUCCUCAGCACCUAGCAUAUAUUUGAGGUUCACAUACUGACCAAACGAAUAAAGGAAUAUGUUAAUUUUUAAAAAAAGUUGAGUUAUUCUUCCACCUUCAUCCCCAUAGCCCCUUAUCUCAGUUCAGACCUCAUCCCUUCUCCAGGAUCACUGAGGCAGCCUUCUCACUGUCCUCCCAGCCUCCUGUGUCUCCCUACUAUC